CUACGGGGGGCUGCAGUAAAGAAUCUUCCGCAAUGGGCGAAAGCCUGACGGAGCGACACCGCGUGGUGGAUGAAGCCCUUCGGGGUGUAAACACCUUUUCUGGGGGAAGAAUUCCGAUGGUACCCCAGGAAUAAGCACCGGCUAAACUCGUGCCAGCAGCCGCGGUAAUACGAGUGGUGCAAGCGUUACCCGGAAUUACUGGGCGUAAAGCGUCUGUAGGUGGUGUAUCAAGUCUGAUGUUAAAUCCCACAGCCCAACUGUGGAUUAGCGUUAGAAACUGGUACGCUAGAGGUUGAAAGAGGCCAGUGGAAUUCGGUGUGUAGGGGUAAAAUCCGUAGAUACACCGAGGAACACCCAAAGCGAAGGCAUCUGGCUAGUUCAAUCCUGACACACAAAGACGAAAGCGUGGGGAUCAAACGGGAUUAGAUACCCUCGUAGUC
rnacentral:rRNA from 1 species